GACGAAUGCUGGCUGCGUGCUUAACACAUGCAAGUCGAACGGUGAAGGGGAGCUUGCUCCCCGGAUCAGUGGCGAACGGGUGAGUAACACGUGGGCAACCUGCCCCUCACUCUGGGAUAACUCCGGGAAACCGGGGCUAAUACCGGAUACGACCGGGAGCGACAUCGCUCCUGGUGGAAAGAACUUCGGUGAGGGAUGGGCCCGCGGCCCAUCAGCUAGUUGGGGGGGUAACGGCCCACCAAGGCGACGACGGGUAGCCGGCCGGAGAGGGCGACCGGCCACACUGGGACUGAGACACGGCCCAGACUCCUACGGGAGGCAGCAGUGGGGAAUAUUGCGCAAUGGGCGAAAGCCUGACGCAGCGACGCAGCGUGAGGGACGAAGGCCUUCGGGUUGUAAACCUCUUUCAGCGGGGACGAAGCGAAAGUGACGGUACCCGCAGAAGAAGCACCGGCCAACUACGUGCCAGCAGCCGCCGUAAAAC
rnacentral:rRNA from 1 species